GACGAACGCUGGCGGCGUGCUUAACACAUGCGAGUCGAACGGAAAGGCCCUGCUUUUGUGGGGUGCUCGAGUGGCGAACGGGUGAGUAACACGGGAGUAACCUGCCCUUGACUUUGGGAUAACUUCAGGAAACUGGGGCUAAUACCGGAUAGGAGCUCCUGCUGCAUGGUGGGGGUUGGAAAGUUUCGGCGGUUGGGGAUGGACUCGCGGCUUAUCAGCUUGUUGGUGGGGUAGUGGCUUACCAAGGCUUUGACGGGUAGCCGGCCUGAGAGGGUGACCGGCCACAUUGGGACUGAGAUACGGCCCAGACUCCUACGGGAGGCAGCAGUGGGGAAUAUUGCACAAUGGGCGGAAGCCUGAUGCAGCAACGCCGCGUGCGGGAUGACGGCCUUCGGGUUGUAAACCGCUUUCGCCUGUGACGAAGCGUGAGUGACGGUAAUGGGUAAAGAAGCACCGGCUAACUACGUG
rnacentral:rRNA from 1 species